ensembl:lncRNA
UGAGGAGGUGGGCUGCCUCCCAGGCCUAAACUGUAGCUCAUGCCUAUGCCUUGCUGGUCUCCUUGGGCCUGCACCCCCCAACUGGUCCCUCUACUCCUCACAGCCUCUUCCUCCCAGCUGGGUGCCUCAGGGAGCUGCAGGGACCUACACAUUCUGCUCCUAGGUGAGUUGAGCCAAGUGCAUGUCCCAAAGCCAGGUCUCCCCAAACUGCAGUAAGGAGGGCCUGGCAGUGGACCCAAGGCACUCACUGUUGAGGAAGGAGGAGGGGACUGCAUAGAAAAUAUCCUUCUCAUCCUGGGGGACCUCAAAGGUCCUCAUCCAGUGACCUCAGGCUCCUUUGCACUAUUGUUUGCUCCUGGGCCAUCAGCCCUUCUUCCAGACCCUUGCCAUCCUGUUGGGACUAGAAACGCCUUCUUUCAGGAAGGUGCCUAGAUUUUGCCUAUCAGCAGUAAUAGUGACAAUUGGAAGGUAUAGCCUGCUUUCAGCUUAUUCCCAGGAGCAAGGCACCAAUGUCCUGUAACAGGUUCCAGGCAUCUCCUUCUAUCUCUGCCUUGAGUGCUUGGAGCAUCUGGGGGACCCAUAGGCUUCUUCCUUCAGGCCAAGGCAAGACCAGCCUCCAGGCUUCACUGGACCUCUGCUUGCACAUGGACCCUCUUACUUGCACUGUCCUGUUGCCCGACCAUACCAGUCUGUGGGCCCUUUCUCCAUGGUUCUGAACCACCCCUGCUCUUUCUCAGGGAUCAAGAGAUGCAACUCAUCCCGUGACCUCAGGCUGGGUUGCCAGACUUGGAUUGGGAAGGGGAAAUGGAGGAGCCUGAAGCUCAGCUCCAAGCCCCAGUCUCACUGUUUCCCCUAUAGGCAGAGCUGUGACAGGAGGGAAAGGGGCAGGGCACAACUUUUGAAAGAAUAACAUAGCCCAAGGACACAACAUAAACUGAUUAGAGUCAAAUGGGACCAAGAUGGCGGACAAGACUAGACCUUGAUCCUGAAUCAGCAAGUGAAGUGACAACCCAGAGAUGCCAGGACAGUUCCAAGGCACUAUUAAAAGAUCAAGGACUGGGAGGUGGCCCAAAUCCAGGAAAUCUCUGCCCCUUCCCCAGAAUAGUUGGAAUAGUCCUCCAACUCAUUAGCAUAUGAAAACACCUAGCCUAUAAAAGCUAACCAUGCCACAGUUCACCGCCGCUGCAUCCGCCCUCGGUGGCAGCCCACACUCUGCACGUGGAGUGUGCUUCUCUCUGUAUCUGAAUAAACCCGCUUCUUACCUAUCACUUUGUCUCUCACUGAAUUCUUUCUGUGAUGAGAUAUCAAGAACCUGAGCUUCAUUAAGUCCUCAGGUAUUGUGGGUUCUGGCUGGGUUUGAGUCCCAGCCACGUGGGCUCAAGUCCCAAGCAGGGUUUUGACUGGGUUCGAGUCUCAAUCUGUGGUAAAUGGAUUCAGAGUCGCUCCCCUUCUCCUCCCAGACCUCUGCUAUCCAACUGCUGCAACCCCCUGCCUCUGGGCAGCCCCUGGAUUCAGCCUGGGUUGCUAUAAGGGAGUUUGGCCUCCCUGACUCUGAGCUCUUCCCCAUGAGUGAGGCGCCACUCAGGCAUUCGGCAGCCCCACCUGGGGUCCAUGUUCCCUGUGACCCCCCUGGCUCCUGGCCCAUGGGCCUUUCCUGAAGCCUUUUGCCUCCCUGGGAGUUGGUAUGGAUUGGGGGGAGGGCUCCCCGGAAAGACCCAGGCUGAGCCCCAGCUUGUAUCCUGUCCGCUGUAAGCUGCCCUCAAGCACCCUCUGUGCCACCGUCUCGAGGUGGCCACAGCCCAGGCCGUGGUCUCCUUCUGCUCGUCAGCUCCUCUCAAGCAACUGUGUCCUGCUUCCCUGCUAACUUGCCCCCUGGGUUGGGGGGGAAGGGAGCAGGUGUGUGGGGGAGGGUUCAGAAGAACAGGUGGAAUCUCACAGGCUCUGUCAUUUCAGGCCUGGCCUAGGGUCCCCCAUCCUGGCUCUGGCUCAGGGCCCCCUGUUCCAGUUGCCUUCCCCUUGCCAUUCAUGAGGUGUCCCCAUGCCAUAGCUGUGAGCAUGGGGGUCUGCUAACCUCUUCUUCCAGGAAAGCCCUCAAAUUCUGCUCCCUAACAGUAGGCUAUUUAAGAUGGUCUCACAGCAGCUGAGGUAUUUUCUUUAUUGUUUUCUAGACUGUGACGUUGGAGAGUCCAGCUCUGGGUCUGGACUCUCUCGGCCCCAACUCAUCCUGCUCCCCUGACUCAGUUCAGUUCAGUCGCUCAGUCGUGUCCGACUCUUUGCGGCCCCAUGGACUGCUGCAGGCCAGGCUUCCCUGUCCAUCACCAACUCCUGGAACUUGCUCAGACUCAUAUCCAUUGAGUUGGUGAUGCCAUCCAACCAUCUCAUCCUCUGUCAUCCCCUUCUCCUCCUGCCUUCAAUUUUUCCCAGCCAUCAGAGUCUUUUCCAAUGAGUCAACUCUUUGCAUCAGGUGGCCAAAGUAUCGGUGUUUCAGCUUCAGUAUCAGUCCUUCCGAUGAAUAUUCAGGACUCAUUUCUUUUAGGAUUGACUGGUUUGAUCUUGUAGUGACCCCACAAGAGACUAAGCCGGACUUGCCUGUGAGUGUCCAGGAGUCUCCAGCGGAGGUGUGGGUCGACAGUGGCCUGCCGCAGGGGCAGGGACACUGACUACAAUAGUCCGCGGGGCCCUGGCAUGCAGGCGUAAAUCCUUUUGAAGGAAGUCGCCAUUAUCACCAUUACCCCUAUGGGAGGGAACGAAACCCCACCUAACAACAGCAAAUUGGAUUAAAGAUUAACUGAGCCCCACCCAUCAGAGCAAGACCCAGAUACCUGAACAGCCAGUCCCUCCCAUCAGGAAGCUCCCACAAGCCUCUUAUCCUUAUCCCUCAGAGGGCAGACAGAAUGAAAACCACAAUCACAGAAAACUAACCAAAGUGAUCUGGAGAAGGCAAUGGCACCCCACUCCAGUACUCUUGCCUGGAAAAUCCCAUGGACAGAGGAGCCUGGUGGGCUGCAGGACAGAGGAGCCUGGUGGGCUGCAGUCCAUGGGGUCGUGAAGAGUUGGACACGACUGAGCGACUUCACUUUCACUUUUCACUUUCGUGCAUUGGAGAAGGAAAUGGAAACCUACUCCAGUGUUCUUGCCUGGAGAAUCCCAGGGACGGCAGAGCCUGGUGGGUUGCCAUCUAUGGGGUCACACAGAAUCGGUCACGACUGAAGUGACUUAGCAGCAGCAGCAGCAACCGAAGUGAUCCCAUGGACCACAGCCUUGUCUGACCCAAUGAAACUAUGAGGCAUGCUGUGCAGGGCCACCCAAGAUGGAUGGGUCAUGGGGAGAGUUCCGACAAGACAUGGUCCACUGGAGAAAGGAAUGGCAAGUCAGUUCACCAUUCUUGCCUUGAGAACCCCAUGACCUGGAUGAAAGGCUUGCCUGACUACAGGCCCCAAUUUGUCGCUUCUCAGGCUCUGCAUUUGUAGUCUCACUCAGGGUGAGGACUCAGCCCUCAGGAGCCAGCUUCGCAGGGCUCUUUACCUGCAAGAAAGAUGCUGGUCAGAUGUGACAGCUGUGGGCACGCUCAUUGCUCAUCCUUCCCCCUGCUGAGUGUCACCCACUCUCUGUUCCUAGCCCUGCUCUCGUUUUCGCCAUCUUGGGAACUCAGCUACUAUCUCCUUCCAUGGGCCCUUAGCUCUCAGAGUGUCUUCCCCCUUCACACUUGUCUUUGUCCCCAAGACAUCCUGAUGUGUGAGUCAGGGUGGCAGGGUCUCUAAUGCUGCCACCCUCAUCAGCAGUUAACUCAGGGCUUACUCCCUCCCCACUCUCUCACUGGUGCCCAAAGGGGUUUGUGGCUGGGUCCGCACAGUCCACCCUCCGCAUGAGGUCCAAGGCUACCUCUCUGCCUGGCCUAGGUCCCCAUCUUGCUCCUGUAGGCCUGGGUUGCCAGCCUAUCUGUCCUCUCUCCACAGUGCCAAGUCUGGCACAUCCAUUCCUGCCCAGCUCCCAUGGGAACUGGAAGCCCCACCCCAAAUCUCCUUCCUUGGACUGAAAUACUUCCCCCCAUGACAUCCCUGACAGCCUGUCGAGGGUCGUCAUGGUUCUUGCCAAACUAAGUGAGAUCACACGUGAGGGACUCACAGUGACAGAGGUGAAGACCUGGAAGCUGUAGCCUCUGAAAGCCCUUGUUCUCAGGAUUCUUGCCUGCCUUUCUCCUGACCUCCUCCUCCAGCAACCACCCCUCCGCAUCAGAAUCUGUAAUGGCCUGGGAAGUAAAACCCACUCAUCCAUUCCUUCUUCUAGUCAAUACAAGAAACAUUUCUGGUCCCUGUCCCUAUUAGCCAAACACAACAGCUAUGAAUUUGGCCUGGACUUCGUUGAAGACAACAGAAUUUUCUAUAACCAGUUGAAACAGAGAAGGGUUAAUGAGAGGGGGACCAAGAGUUGUACAGAAUUAUUGGGCGAGCUGAAGAUCCAGACUCUAGCUUGUGCUUUCUGGAUCGACUUUCUAAGUAACAGUGCAGACCUGGGUCACCUAGAAGGCAGCUGCCCCUUAGUCCAUUAGCAGGACCCAGGCUGCUGGUGCCAGGACAACAGUGGCCCAGUGGAUAGCCAUGGAAGCUGAUGAUGGGCUGAAGGUUCCUCUGCUAAGGCAAGGGAUGGUCACCGAAGUAUACCCUCUGGCUCAUUGCCUGCUUCCAUAUCUCUGCAAAGAGCCCCUGAUCUGCAGAACUGACCCCGCCUGACACCAGCUUCAAGAGGGUCUUACAUUGGGCCAUUUUUUAGCUUUCUGGCCUCCAUAGUGCCAGGAGGUAUGCUGUAGGGCAAUGCGCCAAUCCCGCCUGUCCACUAUACAGACCAAGUUAAAUCGGAUUCCCAUAGCAACUCUGCAAAGUAGAUGCUUUAGCUGUGCUUUACAUUUGGGAAAUGGAGCAGGGUCAGAAACAGAAAUGCCCCUGAGGUCAGGGGCAGCCUGGGAGGGAACCCCACCCCACUUGACUCCCAGUCUUUGCUCAUUCCUUUGGAUAGCUUCACCCAGACAUCCCCUCAGGACAGUGCCCAAAGGCCCGAGGCCCAGUUAGGACACUGCGGGACAUCCCAAUCUGUAGGCCAACAGAGAGCAGAGGAAGGCCAGCUUCAGGCCCAGCACCUGUGGCCAUCCUGAGCCUUGGACUGAGGGUCUGGAGGUGUCCCAUGCUGGGGUCUUCAGUUCCACUUCUGAUUUCAGCCUCGUGCGCACAGGUCCCACCUCAAGUGUGGCUGGGAAGUUCCGGAGAGUGGAAGCUCCUUGGGGCAACCCUCGGCUAGGGCCCAGGGGCAGGUGGAUAAGUGCCUAGAAGACUCCAUCUUUCAGGUGAAUACUCCAGGCUACUCAUGAAGUCCCAGAGGACUGACCGCCCCUCUGCAGCUACCUCGACAGUGACCCUUGUUUUGGCUUCUCCCUGUCCCUAUCUUACUCUCCCCAGUCCCUAGUUCCUGCUUCCUGGCAUCACCUUCCAAAUAAACCACCAGCACCCAAGUCCUGUCUCUGGCUCUGCUUUUAGGGAGCCCAGCCCAGAAUAAUCCCUUAAUGAAACACUUUUUAAUAUUUCUUCAGCAAGCUCCAUGCAUAUUCACAGUGAGAUACACAAAGACUCAAACUAGCCUCACAUCGAUUUGGGUCAGGUUUGCUGCCAUCUAGGUAAAGAGAAGGUCUUCUGAGCACCGGAAUUUUAUGGCUGCUGAUAAGAGCCCAGCCUGGUACACGGAGGUGCACCCUCUCAUGCUUGCUUAAGUCAGUGUGAGUGGGGAACGUCUUGGUGCCAUGGACUGCUCCCAGAAGUCCCCAAGGACACAAGAGUGACCAGGCUGUUGAGGGUUGCCCUCAAGGAGCUGACAUCUAAGCAGGAGGAGACAAUCGACAAAUACAGGUAGGUAAACAAGGUAAUCUGACCUCUGGUAACACUGGGGAAGGAGGCCCCAGGGUGAUUAUAGGCGAUGGGGUGCUCAGGGGAGGCCCAUCUCUGGAGAUUUCUGAGCAGGGAGGGGGCAAGGAGAAGGAGUCCCGGACAGACGAUUUGGCUUAGGGGAAGAACAGAUUUAAUUUCCUGAGACAGGGUGGGGUUUGCCCUGUUUGAAGAAGAGCAAGGACGCCAAAUGGGUAGGCACAAAAUCCUGCCAGCAGGGCGAGGGGAAGAGCCCUAGUUAAGGCUUUCUAGCUUCCAACAGCAGAGGGAGGUACUGAGGGGCUUCGAGCAGGCAGCACCAUGAUCUGAUUUGGAAGAACCCUCUGCAUGUUGCUCAGGAGCGGAUGGGAGUUAGUGGCAACAGUGCAACUCAGAAGCAGCAGAGUGGUGUCUGCUGCCCACCAGCACCUGUGCCCCUCUUGUCUUAACAAUAACAGUGCCUGUCCUGGGCCCUCCUGCCUCCAGCUACUGCUGCAGGGAACACAAGCCCCAUCACCACCACCACCACCACCACCACCACCAGCACCACGGGUGCUCUUAAUUGGCCUAAGGAUGACACAUCCUCUGUCAGUGAUAGGUCAAGAGUGUGCAUGUGACCAACCCCACCCAAAGAAACAUCAGGGAAAGCAGCCGGGACUCUGCUGUGGAGUCUACCGACACAGCCAGCUUGGCGGUGAUGUCUGCUACACCACUGAGAUGGGGAAGAGGCUGCUUCCUGCAUCCCGGAACCCAAAGCUCACUCCAGGCUUCCUGUUGCAUAGAAAUGGGGAUAGGCUUGUGGUCGACGCGAGAUUGAGCAAGGGUGUCUGUUACUUGUGGCAGGAAACCUUCAGUGGACAAGCAAAAUGCCUAUCGGAAGGGAAGUCUUAGUAAAUCAGGGCAUGUUGGUAUUGUGGAACAUGGCAGAGCCAUUGUAAAGAAGAGUGGGAUCCUCGUGUUGAGAAAGGGAACCAGCUACAGGAGAUAAUUCUGAUUCUCAACCAGGAAUUAUUUUCUCCCCAGGUAGGUUGCCAGAUUGAGUGAAUAAAAAUACAGAAUAAAUAUAUAUCUCAGAUAAACAACAGAUAAUUUUUUAAAGUAAAAAAAGUCCCAGGGAGUACAUUAUUAACUGAAUAACCUGUAUUUUAUCUGGCGACACUGCCUUUGGGACUUUGGCAAUGUCUGGAGACAUUUCUGGUUAUCGUGACUGACAGGAGGGCACUAGUAAGUAGAGGCCAAGGAUGCUCGCAGACAUCCCACAGUGCACAGGACGGCCCUCCCAACAAAGCAUGUCCCAGCCAAAAAUGUCCAUAGUGCCAAAACUGAGGAUCCCUGUUAUAAAAUGAGAAACAACUCAGUAAGCUACACUGGAAUCCCACUGGUGUUAAAAUUUGACGUAAGCUACAUGAUUGCAUAGAGAAAUUUACGGAGGUCACACUCCAUGGGCUUCCCUGAUAGCUCAGUUGGUAAAGAAUCUGCAAUGCAGGAGACCCUGGUUUGAUUCCUGGGUCAGGAAGAUCCCCUAGAGAAGGGAUAGGCUACCCAUUUCUCCAAUAUUUUUGAGCUUCCCCUGUGGCUCAGUUGGUAAAGAAUCUACCUGCAAUGCAGGAGACCUAGGUUUGAUCCCUUGGUUGGGGAGAUCUCCUGCUGGAGAAGGGAAAGGCUACCCACUCCAGUAUUCUGGCUUGGAGAAUUCCAUGGACUGUAGAGUCCACACGGUCUCAAAGAGUUGGAGAUGACUAAGCGACUUGGAAAUAGAUGGGGAAACAGUGGAAACAGUGUCAGACUUUAUUUUUUGGGGCUCCAGAAUCACUACAGAUGGUGACUGCAGCCAUGAAAUUAAAAGACGCUUACUCCUUGGAAGAAAAGUUAUGACCAACCUAGAUAGCAUAUUCAAAAGCAGAAACAUUACCUUGCCGACCAAGGUCCAUCUAGUCAAGGCUAUGGUUUUUCCUGUGGUCAUGUAUGGAUGUGAGAGUUGGACUAUGAAGAAGGCUGAGCGCCUAAGAAUUGAUGCUUUUGAACUGUGGUGUUGGAGAAGACUCUUGAGUCCCUUGGACUGCAAGGAGAUCCAACCAGUCCAUUCCGAAGAAGAUCAGCCCUGGGAUUUCUUUGGAAAGAAUGAUGCUAAAGCUGAAACUCCAGUACUUUGGCCACCUCAUGCGAAGAGUUGACUCAUUGGAAAAUACUCUGAUGCUGGAAGGGAUUGGGGGCAGGAGGAGAAGGGGAUGACCGAGGAUGAGAUGGCUGGAUGGCAUCACGGACUCGAUGGACGUGAGUCUGAGUGAACUCCGGGAGUUGGUGAUGGACAGGGAGGCCUGGCGUGCUGCGAUUCAUGGGGUCGCAAAGAGUCGGACACGACUGAGCGACUGAACUGAACUGAAGAGACUUUCGCUUUCUUUCACACUCCAAAGUCAUGUGGGAUAGGGAGUGAAUAUACUCCUCACUUUAAAUCCUUCUGCAGUGUUUUGUUAUUUUUUUUAAAGUUAAUAAAUUUGAAGUUAAAGUUAAUAUAUAUAUAUGGCUUCCCUGGUGGCUGAGAGGUUAAAGCGUCUGCCUCCAAUGCGGGAGACCUGGGUUUGAUCCCUGGGUCGGGAAGAUCCUCUGGAGAAGGAAAUGGCAACCCACUCCAGUAUUCUUGCCUGGAGAAUCCCCUGUGUACCCACAAAGCACACAGAUGAAAAUGAUGGAUUUUUCACAAAGUGAGCACACCCACGACACAGGGACCCCAGACGAAGACUAAAUGACCAGCCUUCCUUGAGGCUGCUUCUGUCGCCUUCUAGUCUCUCACUGCCCUACAAGGUUAUUGACUCUCCUGGAUGCUAACCUGUUUUGAACUUCGUAGAAAUGGAAUCACGCAGUAUGUAUAUAUGUAUACAUGCAUUUAGGGUUUCCCAGGUGGCGCUAGUGAUAAAGAAUCCGUCUAUCAAUGCAGGAGAUGCAGGAGACUCUGGUUUGAUCCCUGUAUCAGGAAGAUCCCCUGGAGGAGGAAAUGGCAACCCAUUCCAAUAUUCUUGCCUGAGAAAUCCCAUGGACAGAGAGGAGCCUGGUGGGCUAUACAGUCCAUGGGGUGGAAAAAGCGUCUGAUAUUACUGAGCACACACGCACCCAUGCUCAGUUUUACUAGAUAUGAGCAAAGAGCUGCCAAAAUGCUCACACCAAUUUACACAUUCCCCAGUUAUACAUGAAGGUUCUGACUGCGCCACCCAUAUCCUUACCAACCCUUGACACAGUCUAGCAAUUUCAUUUCGAUCCCUCUCACUGGUGUGCGAAUUGUUAAUCACUGUGAGUUUAAGUUGUAUUUCCCUGAGUAAAUAAAGUUGAGUGC